ACUUGGCGGUUAUAACUUUUUAAAGGAACUUGUUUUAUAAUAGACAAUACACUAUAUACUUCACUUAAUUAAAAAAUUUGUAUACCGCCGUUAACAGAAACCACAAAAAAUAAGUCUCUAAAUCACAAUAGCCACAAAAUCAGGUCAAGGUGCAAUAAAUUAUUAAGAAAAAAUUAGUUACACAUAAAAAAAAAAUAAGGAAUUUUUACUAAAGAUAAAAAAGAAAAAGAAUUUAUAAAUARAAAUAUACUAAUAAUUUAAAUUGAAAAUCAAUAUUAKAAUGC
rnacentral:rRNA from 1 species